GAGAUUGCCAGGAAAAGAGAUUCCCAGGAAAAGAGAUUCUCAGGGAAAAGAGAUUCCCAGGAAAAGAAAUUCCCAGGAAAAGAGAGUCCCAAGAAGAGAGAUUCCAAGGAAAAGGGAUUCCCAGGGAAAAGAGAUUCCCAGGAAAAGGGAUUCCCAGGGAAAAGAGAUUCUCAGGGAAAAGAGAUUCCCAGGAAAAGAGAUUCCCAGGAAAAGAGAUUCCCAGGAAAAGAGAUUCCCAGGGAAAAGAGAUUGCCAGGAAAAGAG
rnacentral:lncRNA from 1 species